UACCGGCCAUCAUUUGACCUCAGAAGACUGUAGUUAAGACUGAAAAUUCAACCUUAAAUCCGCGGUCUCUCUCCCCAAGUUCCCCCCUCUUCCCUGCUAGCUCAUCGCCCACCUUUUUGCCCACAAUUUUUCCGUCGCCGAAAGUUCGAAGCGUCUCAGAUUUUUACUUCAAUACGUAAUACUGUAUACUUCUCUCUGAGAUCUCAUUUCCCUGCCCAUAUCCGUCGUAAAACCCUAGAGAAAUCUUCAAUGAUUGAUAAAAUCUUGCGCUUUGGACAGUGAUCUGGAGAUACAGAGAGAGAAUGGGAGAACCACUGGAGAGGUUGGGAUCAGAGGGAGCUGCAGGGCUGGAAUCGAGCAUGAAAGAGGGGCUGUGCAUGGAGAUCGAUCCGUCGUUCCGGGAAAAUGCUGCGACUGCUGAGGAUUGGAGGAAGGCUUUGAACAGGGUGGUACCUGCUGUGGUUGUGCUGCGGACUACCGCUUGUCGAGCAUUUGAUACUGAAGCCGCAGGUGCGAGCUAUGCCACUGGGUUUGUGAUUGAUAAGCGCCGCGGUAUCAUCCUCACCAAUCGCCAUGUGGUUAAGCCUGGACCGGUAGUUGCAGAGGCUAUGUUUGUGAAUCGUGAAGAAAUUCCUGUGUAUCCUAUAUAUAGGGAUCCGGUUCAUGAUUUUGGAUUUUUUCGUUAUGAUCCUGAUGGAAUACAAUUUCUGAGUUAUGAGGAGAUACCUCUUGCCCCUGAGGCUGCUUGCGUUGGACUAGAAAUCAGGGUGGUCGGUAAUGAUAGUGGGGAAAAGGUCUCUAUUCUAGCUGGUACACUUGCUCGUUUGGAUAGAGAUGCUCCUCAUUAUAAGAAGGAUGGUUACAACGACUUCAAUACAUUUUACAUGCAAGCUGCAUCUGGGACGAAAGGUGGUUCAAGUGGUUCCCCUGUAAUUGAUUGGCAAGGCAGGGCAGUGGCCUUGAAUGCUGGAAGCAAAUCAUCAAGUGCCUCUGCUUUUUUCCUACCUUUAGAGAGAGUUGUAAGAGCUUUAAGAUUUCUGCAGAAGGGCAAAGAUUCAUUUGUAAAUAAAUGGGAGGUGGUUACCAUACCUCGUGGUACGCUUCAGGCAACAUUUCUCCAUAAAGGAUAUGAUGAGACACGGCGCCUUGGUCUCCGAAGUGAAACAGAACAGGUUGUACGACAUGCAUCUCCAGUCGGGGAAACCGGAAUGCUUGUUGUUGAUUCUGUGGUGCCAGGUGGACCAGCUUAUAAGCACUUGGAGCCUGGUGAUGUUCUUGUUCGUGUUAAUGGGGAAGUAGUAACUCAGUUCCUGAAAUUGGAGAAACUCCUUGAUGACAGAGUUGGCCAAGAGAUUGAAUUACAGAUUGAAAGGGGUGGUACAUUGUUGACUGUAACCUUUGUGGUUCAGGAUUUACACUCAAUAACUCCUAAGUAUUUCUUGGAAAUAAGUGGUGCGGUGAUACACCCUCUUUCCUAUCAGCAGGCCAGAAAUUUCCGUUUCAACUGUGGUCUUGUAUAUGUUACAGAGCCUGGAUAUAUGCUUUUUAGAGCGGGAGUUCCUCGGCAUGCUAUCAUCAAGAAGUUUGCUGGUGAAGAGAUAUCCCGGCUUGAAGAACUAGUCUCUGUUUUAUGCAAGUUGCCUAGAGGUGCUCGAGUGCCAUUGGAAUAUAUAAGCUACAUGGAUCGGCAUAGAAGGAAGUCUGUUCUAGUCACGAUUGAUCGCCACGAAUGGUAUGCACCUCCUCAAAUAUACACUCGUGAUGACAGUACUGGUUUAUGGACAGCAAAGCCAGCUUUGCCACAUGACUCCCUACUACUAGCGCCUGUUGCUGAUUAUACUGGUGAAUGUUUAACAAGCCAAACACUUAUAUCAGGCACUACUGAGGCUAUUCUAAUGGAACAUGCACAUCAAGAUAACAACCAGGAGUUGGCUGAAGGUGUUACUAAUAUGGAAACAAACUGCGAACAUGUUUCUGGGGAACCACAUCCUCGGGAUGAUUCUGAUGCUGGAACAAAAAAAAGACGAGUGGAAGAGGAUUCAUCUGCAGAUGGGAUUGUUAUAUCUAAUUGUUCAUUAGAUGAGUCAAGGGAAAAAAGGUUGGAGGAUAUGAGAGCCAUGGACCACACAUAUUUAAGAGAUUAUCAGGGUGCAGCAGCAGCUAAUGCUUCCAUAGCUGAACGUGUGAUAGAGCCCACUCUUGUUAUGUUUGAGGUUCAUGUCCCCCCAUCAUGUAUGCUUGAUGGCGUCCACUCUCAGCAUUUCUUUGGGACUGGUGUCAUUGUAUAUCAUUCUUUGAGCAUGGGAUUGGUUGCUGUUGACAAAAACACAGUUGCAGUAUCUGUCUCAGAUGUCAUGCUAUCCUUCGCUGCUUUUCCGGUUGAGAUUCCUGGAGAGGUAGUUUUUCUUCAUCCUGUUCAUAAUUUUGCGAUUGUUGCUUAUGAUCCUUCUGCUUUGGGAGCUGUUGGUGCCUCAGUCGUUCGUGCUGCGGAACUUCUUCCUGAGCCUGCAUUGCGUCGUGGGGAUUCUGUCUAUCUUGUGGGAUUGAGUCGAAGCUUACAGGCAACAUCAAGGAAAUCCAUUGUCACCAACCCAUGUGCUGCUCUGAAUAUUAGCUCUGCUGAUUGUCCACGUUACAGAGCAACGAAUAUGGAAGUUAUUGAGCUGGAUACAGAUUUUGGAAGUACAUUUUCGGGGGUGCUGACUGAUGUACUUGGAAGGGUUCAAGCUAUCUGGGGAUGCUUCUUAACUCAGCUGAAAUAUGGUUGUAAUACUUCAGAAGAUCAUCAAUUUGUCAGAGGCAUCCCAAUUUACACCAUCAGCCAAGUGCUUGAUAAAAUCAUAUCUGGUGCGAAUGGACCCCCUCUAUUAAUAAAUGGUGUCAAAAGACCAAUGCCGCUUGUUAGAAUUAUGGAGGUUGAGCUCUAUCCUACUUUACUUUCGAAAGCUCGGAGUUUUGGACUUAGAGAUGAUUGGAUCCAAGCCCUUGUCAAGAAAGAUCCAAUUAGGCGUCAAGUUUUGCGUGUUAAAGUUUGUUUGGCUGGAUCAAAAGCUGAGAAUUUAUUAGAACAAGGUGACAUGGUCUUGGCAAUAAACAAAGACCCUAUUACAUGCUUCCAUGACAUAGAAAGUGCUUGUCAAGCAUUAGACAAAAAUGACGGCAAAGAUGGAAAGCUCAACCUGACUAUUUUCCGGCAGGGACGUGAAAUUGAACUUUUUGUGGGAACAGAUAUUAGGGAUGGUAAUGGCACGACGCGCAUGAUAAACUGGUGUGGAUGUAUUGUUCAGGAUCCUCACCUGGCAGUGCGAGCUCUCGGAUUUCUUCCUGAAGAAGGACAUGGUGUGUAUGUGGCAAGGUGGUGUCAUGGGAGUCCCGUACACAGAUAUGGGUUGUAUGCUCUUCAAUGGAUAGUUGAAGUUAAUGGAAAGCCAACUCCCAAUUUAGAUGCAUUUGUUGAUGUGACGAAGGAAACUCUAUAUGGACUGAUUUUGACAGGAUGGUCUUCCCACACUCAAGCAGCGAUAUUGGGACCUUGGCAAUGAUGUGAUCAGUGAUUAUUGCUGGUUUGAAUCAUUCAAUUCGAGCAUGUGAUUUAGUAUUAAUUGAAGUUCUCUUUUUAAUGCAUAUGAUGCACGUUGUAAUUGACACUGUUUGUAGGGAUGAGCUUGCAGCGUUCUCUCUAUGUCCGGUUUUGGUUGAACUAUUUUUAAUUCUUUUUGAAUUCUCUUCCCCAUGAUAUUUAAAUUUCACGUUAUCUGUGAUUGUGAUGCAUUGAUCUUUUGUAGUAUUUGCUUAGUUAUGAAAAUUUGUAGAUGCAGUAUACUCCCUCUCCACCCUUGGGUCAGGGCGGCUCAGGGCCAACAUUUCCAAACAGAUAAGAGGCGCCACCCCGGCUUAUGGUCCUGAAUGCCUUUUCAUUUUGGUUUAUUGUGUUCUAGUUUUGUUUUUAUUGUUAUUUUUAUUUUAAGACGACUGGUAGUCGGGGCUUUGGGACUUGCUUUUGUUUAAUUUCAACUGUUUUGGUAAGAACAGGAAUGUCAGGGCUUAUGGUGUGCGGCUGUUUUAUCCGUCCUGUAGGGAUAGAGAGAAACGCUUGGAUUUUUAGAAGUUGAUCAUACUGCUCUCAGCUUUUGUGGGAUGGAGCAACCUUCCUAGCGUCUUUGUGGGUGCACCCUUUGGGUUUCUUUAGCAGUCUUUUACUGUCCGACCUUGUUAGAGAUUGAAAGGAAUGUCAGGGCUUAUGGUGUGCGGCUGUUUUCUCCGUCCUGUAGACCUUGUGGAUAGAGAGAGACGCUUGGAUUUUCUGAAGUUGAUCAUGCUGCUCUCAUCUUUUGUGGGAUGGAGCAACCUUCCUAGCGCCUUUGUGAUCUUUAGCAAUCUUUUACUGUCUGACCUUGUUAGAGAUUGAAAGGUGACACUUGUAAUGGUCUUUUGAAUUUCAUUAUUUUUUUUCUAAUUUUUGGUAUUUUCCUCGUCGUUAAUGAUUUUUCUUCAACUUUCGUAGCUUGUAAACCUUGUUCUCCGUUUCUCCAUUUUAAUAAAAUUGUCUUCUAUCUGAAAGAAAAA